rnacentral:tRNA from 1 species
GUUCCUGUAGUUGAAGAUACAACGGUGGUUUUUCAAGCCACUAGUCUUGGUUAAAAUCCUGGUUGGAAUU